GUAACGGCGAGUGAAGCGGCAACAGCUCAAAUUUGAAAUCUGGCCUCUUCGGGGUCCGAGUUGUAAUUUGUAGAGGGUGUUUCGGGCGCGAUGCCGGUCUAAGUUCCUUGGAACAGGACGUCGUAGAGGGUGAGAAUCCCGUAUGCGACCGGCGAUCAAGCCCGUGUGAAGCCCCUUCGACGAGUCGAGUUGUUUGGGAAUGCAGCUCAAAAUGGGUGGUAAAUUUCAUCUAAAGCUAAAUAUUGGCCAGAGACCGAUAGCGGACAAGUAGAGUGAUCGAAAGAUGAAAAGCACUUUGGAAAGAGAGUCAAACAGUACGUGAAAUUGUUGAAAGGGAAGCGCUUGCAAUCAGACCGGUCCGGAGGCGAUCAGCCGCUGCUCGUCAGCGGUGCACUCGCCUGCGAUCCGGCCAGCAUCGGUUUGGGCGGCGGGAUAAAAGUCCCGGGAAUGUAGCUUCCUUCGGGGAGUCUUAUAGCCCGGGUCGCAAUGCCGCCCGCCCGGACCGAGGACCGCGCUU
rnacentral:rRNA from 1 species